UGCCAGCCGCCGCGGUAAUACGGGGGGUGCAAGCGUUAAUCGGAAUUACUGGGCGUAAAGCGCGCGUAGGCGGUUUGUUAAGUCAGAUGUGGAAGCCCUGGGCUCAACCUCGGAAUAGCGCUUGAUACUGAACUGCUUGAGACCGGAAGAGGGUAGUGGAAUUCCCAGUGUAGAGGUGAAAUUCGUAGAUAUUGGGAAGAACACCAGUGGCGAAGGCGGCUACCUGGUCCGGAUCUGACGCUGAGGCGCGAAAGCGUGGGGAGCAAACAGGAUUAGAUA
rnacentral:rRNA from 1 species